GUUUCGGCAUUGGCUGCAAUGUAAUCCUUUAUUUCUCCCCCCUCCCCUGUUUCUCCCUCUCUCCCCCCGGCUCCUGCUGUAAUUUAUUUAUUUUUGAGCCCUUCUGAAAUCACGGCAGGGCACUGUUUGAAGAGCCAUGCAGAAUGGAAAAUAUUUAUAGUCACUGUUUGUACUGCUUUUGCUGAACCACUUUGCUCCAAGACAUUUUCAAGAGCAACGUGCACUCUCCAAUACUGGUGACUUCUUUUUCUUUCUUUUCUUUUUCCCUCUCUCUCUCCCCCGCAUUUAGAAAGGUGUAGGGCAGGCUCCUGCCCUCCCAUCUGGAGCAUGAGCCCUGCUGACGUCAAUGGGAGUUGUGCCCGCUGCUGUAAACAUGUUGGGACAUUCUCUGAUAAUGGAUGGGGUUUGGGUUCCGCGUGGUGCCAGCGUCCUCCGAGGCACCCAGGACAAAUCUCCUUUUUGUCAGAGCAGAGGGCGAGAGCCUGCCUGGGUCUGCCUCUGGGCUCCCUGCUCCUCACUUUUGCUGGGAGAUCGAUAUCAGCAACAAGGAGAGGGGUUGAUAUGAAUAACAUAGCCUAAAGAUUAUCUUUUUCCCUUGAAGUUUUGGAGUAUAUUUCAAUACAUUUGUCUUCUCACAAACCUGAAGAGCAAAUAUGACUCUUCCUGCUGCAGGGUUGCUAUGAGAGAACAAGUACUCCCAUGGUAUUGCUAGGGCAUUCACACCUUAGUGCGUGCCUGCAUUAUAAAAAAAUCAACACCACAAAAUACAUAUUUCCCUUUAUCCAUGCCACCUUUCCAUCGCCAACUUCUCUCCUGCUGCACACAAAUGAUGCAAAAGCAGCAGGUAAUGUUGCCCGCUCCACCCCAUGCUCCCCUACACCCACCCCUUCCCUUCAGACACCGCCAUCCUGCAGUUAUUAACCCUUCCUGGCACCUCUGGAAGUGGAGGGUUGGGGGUUGCUCCCCUCUCUUCAUCCCUGCCGAGGCAGAAGAGCAGCACCGGGGCUGCGUUAACAAAGCCUGGCUGGGUCGGUGCACAGGGAGCACGUAGGGACUGCAGCCCUAAAAAUUGUAAUGCCGCUUUUAAACAAAGCCGAGAGAUGCACUCUGCCUCCAAACCCCUUUUUUGCAAGGCGGGGGGAGGGGGUAGAACCAAAAAACGCUGUCGUAAAAAUAAUAGGCAGGGCUGUAAAUUAAAGAAAGAGAGAAAGAAAAAUGGGAUGAUAUAACGCAUCCUGCGGUAAUCAAUUUUACCUCCAAUAUCUGCUUUUGUUUUCAAAAUGCUAAAUAAACAAUACAUAAUGCAUCUCUCAUCAGCCAAAACCAUGAGGGCUCUGUGCUCAAAUAACAGGAAACAUAUUCAAUUUUCCUAACAGAAGACAGUUCAUUAAGCUGUGCCACAUCAAAUAAAACUUUAAUUUCUCCAGCAUCGGAGUCGCAAUGAAAGCAAUUGAGGAAGAUGAGCCAUAUGGUACUUCUAUCAGCAAACACAUAUUGCUCAUUCCCCCAAAGUUUUCUAAUUCUGCUCCCCAGACCUGUGUAAUAUAGAUAAUGUGCUCUGAGCGCAGCAACCAUGAGCUAUCUGGUGUACACUUCUAAUACUGUAUUUAAUGGGAAAUAAUGAAUCAUAAAAGCCUUGCAGAAGACGGCUUUUGCUAACCUAAAUCUCAGCUGUAAUUUCAUUGUUCUGUGCCUAAGAUGCCGCUUGCCCUUUUCAAACAACAGCGGUUGAACAUAAUUAUGCCGCCGCGAACCUGGGCUGCAAAAAGAGCGGCUCCUGGCCCUACCAACUUCCAUUAACUCCUGAAGCCCCACGCCGGGGCGCCCGGGUGCAGCAGCCGGCUCCCAGGGGCCAGGGCAACACUCCGAACCGCUUCCUCUCCGAUCUGGCCCCAAAAUCGCCACAGGAGGCUGUGAAAAAUUAGGAGAUCUACUUGACAUCGGGAAAUCCGACACUUGCCUUCUCUAACAUCUCUAAGUAACAUAGCUGUAUAGCGUAGUAAGAGAUGGAUUUUUUACGUGUAUAUAUAUUUUUUUCCCUAAAAGGUUGUUGCCACUUUUGCUGCUUUUCACGUCAGAGAAGUCGGGUAACGCGGGGCCCUUUGAAAUAUGUCUCAUCUGAACUAAACUUCUGCCUGCAAACCAUAGAUAAAUAACUCUAAACUGUAACAUGGAAAGUGAACUUGAGAACUGUUGAAAAACAAUCACUCAGAAAUUGUGGGCAGAGGUACAAAAGGGUUGAGCAGGAGACAAUAAAAAUCUGUCUGGCAGUUUUCCUCUUGACCGAGGUUCAGCGGACGUUGCAUGUGAGCCCAUGUCACUGGGACAAGAGUCAUCCCUGAAAGAGAUCCUCUUCAGUGUGAUGUGUUCUAUCUGUCUGCAUACUAGGAUGCUGAAAGGAUCCCUACAGCCUGCCUUCUAAUAUUUACUCCUAUUUUUUUCCUUUGUGACCAUAUUCAAGCGUAAUUUUUUUUUUUUUCCCAGAUUUUCACUGUCAGACAUUGCAGAAAACCACUUCUGCAGUCGCAGUUCCUUUAUAGCUAUGAGUCUAAUAACUAACAUCUUUGUCGCCUAAUACAGACCGUGGCAUUUACAGGGGAACUGCAGCAGACCCACAGAAGGAUAAGUUUCAGGUUAUUCCCCAAAUUUCACCUUUUUCCAAGCCUGGGAGUGGCUCUCAUGAGAGAUCAUCAUUGAUGGCAGCAUUCAUGCUUCAUCUGUACUGGUUUGGCGAGCUUUGCUGUUCUGUGCAUAUUCAAGCCACCGACUUUAUUAGUGUUGAUUAUGUGAAGUUUUGCAGCUUUAAAAGGGCAACUCAUCCUGAAGUUUUCUUUCAUUAAAAGCAUCCACAGGAGCUCCUUUUUUUCCCCUCUGCUUCUUCUAAUUCUGUUACUAUCUCACUAAUUACAAAUGCUGUACAAGAACUAGUAUUGAGCUAUAGAAACGAAAGGUCAAUACAAGAACAACACUUCAUUUGUAAAUAAUAUGGCUCUGCAAUCAAUUAUCUCAUUUUCACAGAAGACAUAUUAAUCUAGGAGCAAAAGAUGGAGACAUUUGGAGGAUGUGCAGAAGGGAUCUUUAAAUGUUAAAUGUUCUUUAGCAUGUGCUAAAUAAAGGCUUCAGCAGAGCAAAAAUGUAGUGCAUAGCACUGACACUCCAGGGAGAUUCUUUAGGUCAAGUGAUUUGUACUUUCAAAAUAGUUCUCCAUUGCACUGUAAAGCCUCUGCCACUGGUGGGCUGAUGUUAUUUAGGAUGAUAGCUGCAGCAGAGAAAAUACUGAAAAAAAAAAAAAAAGUCAUCAGCAAAAAAGGUGCACGUUUGGAUAGGUGAAUCUAGCAUUCUUUGCACUGGUUGCAGUUGGCCAGCAUAGGGGUGUGCAGGAAGCUUCUGUCAAUAAAAGAGCCGCUGCAGGAUCAUCGGCUCUUCCAAGGGUCACAGCAGGAAUCCAUGUCACGAUUCAGAGAUAGGCUUGUGGGUCCCAAAACCAUAACCAUUACUAGAGGAAACUGUAAGGAAAUACAUUCCCUGACCUAAAACCAGCUCAAGAUUUCCUCAUGCUCCCAUCAAAUGGCAAGGAAAAGCUCCUGUAGGCUUCUUCCCCAAAGAGACAGCAGGAAGAAGGGCAUGCAUGCAAUGCCUACUUGUUUUUGCCUUUCUGCUUCAGACACUGUAUAUCCGCCCCAUGGAAACAACAUAGAAUG